rnacentral:rRNA from 1 species
GAUGAACGCUGGCGGCGUGCCUAAUACAUGCAAGUCGAGCGAAGUAUGAGGAGCUUGCUUCUUAUACUUAGCGGCGAACGGGUGAGUAACACGUGGGCAACCUGCCCGAUAGACUGGGAUAACUUGGGGAAACUCAAGCUAAUACCGGAUAGGAUCAUUGACUGCCUGGCUGGUGAUGGAAAUUCUGACAGACACGAUCGGAUGGGCCUGCGGCGCAUUAGCUAGUUGGUGGGGUAAGGGCCUACCAAGGCGACGAUGCGUAGCCGACCUGCGAGGGUGAUCGGCCACACUGGGACUGAGACACGGCCCAGACUCCUACGGGAGGCAGCAGUAGGGAAUCUUCCACAAUGGGCGAAAGCCUGAUGGAGCAACGCCGCGUGAGUGAUGAAGGUUUUCGGAUCGUAAAACUCUGUUGUUAGGGAAGAACACCCGAGAGAGGAUCUCGGAAUGACGGUACCUGACGAGAAAGCCCCGGCUAACUACGUGCCAGCCGCCGCGGUAA